rnacentral:rRNA from 1 species
CCCUUAGAUGUUCUGGGCCGCACGCGCGCUACACUGAUGCAUUCAACGAGUUUCUUCCUGGUCCGAGAGGAAUGGGUAACCUUUUGAAAGUGCAUCGUGAUAGGGAUAGACUAUUGCAAUUAUUGGUCUUCAACGAGGAAUUCCUAGUAGACGUAGUUCAUCAGACUGCAUCGAUUACGUCCCUGCCCUUUGUACACACCGCCCGUCGCACCUACCGAUUGAAUGGUUCGGUGAAGAUCUCGGACUUCGAUAUUUGUUCUUCAUUGAACUUAUAUAGUGGGAAGUUAUCUGAACCUCAUCAUUUAGAGGAAGGUGAAGUCGUAACA